ensembl:lncRNA novel transcript
AUCAACUGCAAGAACAAACCAGCAAUCCUGAGAGGAACCACAGACCCUCUGAAAGAAGUGGACUGCUUCUGCAGGACCUGGGAGACACCCCAAAUACUAUGAGGUUUCAUGUGCUGCCCAGGAUGAGCCACUGUGCCCGGCCAAAUGAGCUAUUUAUGAUGAUCAUAAGGACACAAGAUAAGGAAAUCCAAUCAGUUGCUACGUGCUGAUGAUUCUGAUUCUGGCCCUGCAGUAUCGCUUGCAUGCACC